rnacentral:rRNA from 11 species
ACUGGAGCCUAAAUACCUUAAAGGUACCAGAUCCAAUCUGAUUUUGGAAAUCAAGCAGGGUCAGUCCUGAUUAGCACUUGGAUGGGAGUUUGCCAAGAAAUACCUAGUGGUGUGGGUU